rnacentral:lncRNA from 1 species
CAGGGAUCUCAGCUUCUGUCCCUCUAUCAACUAAAUCUACCACACAACAAACCAGGAGUUGUUGCCAACAACAGGGCAGGAUCAGCUAGAAGAAGGGAGCAUCCAGCUCUAUGCAGCCAGUUCUGAGAUUUCAACCAGGACUUCUCCAAGCAUCUAGCACUUUAGAACUGCACCCAGGGUGUGGAAGCUUUGAAUUGAUUUCUCUUAUCAACUUCAGGUUUGCCAUCCACCUCCCUCAUAUUAUAUAUGGUUACAAUGAGGGAGAAUAAGGAAGGAAACAGAAGAUAAGGAAAACAAGAGCGAAGGAAUGAAAGCAAGAAACCUGCUGGAGUUUGGAGGAAGAGAAGCUACCAGGAGGACACGCUGGGAUCAGAGUGUUGCAGUGAGGCAAAUGGGGGAAAUUCUGGUGAAAUGGGCAACUCAAGUCUCUCAUUUGGCAGUAGUAAGUUGAAGUAUGUAAGCUCUGUGACAAGAUGGAAAGUCUCUGCACAUACAUUCACCCUAGGGUGUACUGUAUAGGGAUCUUCUGUCACAGGGCCAUGUUUGCACAGGUAGAACUAUUCCUUGCCAAAGUGAUGAAUACUCUUGGCCCCAUGAAGGACCACAUCUGGCCUCAUUUGUUCCUAUCACUCAGGUUGCAUCAGAGGUCUGAGAGAAAUAAAACUGAUUUCUUAUUUUGCUCCACUUUCUGUUGUGCACUGCAGACUAAGAGUGCAACAAUCACCCAGAGGAGAGGCAUGAGGUUGUUAAGGAGGUAGAUGCAGCAACUCACCUGCCACCAAAUCUAAACCCAUAUUUUCUG